AAUGAAUUUUUCUAGAUAGUUUUCCAAACACAACACAGAAGGAGAGAAUAGCUAUUUUGGGGCAAAGGAUGUUCUGAGUCCUCCCAAAUCCCACUCUACAAACACUGGCUUCUUUUAUUGAUCUAUAAAGUGGUCCUACUUGUGGAAAUACAGGAAUUACAUUAAUGCAAUGGCUCUUACAUUUUACUACACCUUAGAGUCACCUGGGGACCUUUGAAAAAUCCCAGUGCCUACACUGUAUCCCAGACCAAUUAAAUCAGCAUUUCUAGAGGUGAGCCCUGUGCAUUGGUAUUUUUCAAAAAACUCUCUAGGUGAUUCCAAUAUGCAGUCGAGCUUGAGCACUAGUGCAGUAAUACCCACCACCAACUACUUAGGCAGAAGAGCCCUGUAUGACUGCAGUGAAAUAGGCUUUCUUCUCAUUCUGAGAAUGGUACUUCUGGACACAAAGCCAGAAUUUCAUUCUGAAAAUGUGUUCCUGUGGUUCUGUAAGUACUUAGUAUAAUCCAUACAGGCUAAGUAGUUAGUUGCUAAACUGCAAACACCCAUCUCAUUUCCUCUCAGUCCGCUCCUGGCCAUCUGGUCCUCUGUAUUCCCAUUACAGGGCCAUGUGUGUAUUAAUGAAAUGAUUGCAUCCGAUUACAUCUCUUAUUCAGAGCACAAGAAGAACAGUCCACGUAUUUUGUUCUCCAGCAUCACUGUUUCUGCCAUGAUGUCAAUGAAUACUUUAUUUCUAUUACAUGCAGAAGUGGGAUGGUCUUCAAUAAAGAAAUGUAAUUUUCACUGUUGUCCUUUGAAAUCUGGUGACUCUGGAGAGGACCUGGCUUGUGCUCUGGAUUUCCAUUCUAUGCCCAGAUGCUUCUCUCAACGCCAACUGAAGCAUCAUUUGCAUUAAAAAAAAAAUGCUUUGAAAGCGAAGAGGAGAUGUAGCCACGCUUCCCAGGAUCCCAUUCUGUAGUUCAAAUUCCGCACUGCACAUGGAGCUGGAACUUAUGAAAUGAUGGCCAAGUCCUGUAUGUAACCACUGGAACCAUCUAGAGCCAUUCUUGAGAACGUGCUGAGCGGUGUGGUCUAGUGGAGCAAAAAAAGCCCUGAGCGUGCAGAAGUGGAUGGGACAAUAUUGAGAAUGCAGCUGGGCCACUGCUGGUUGAAGUGGCCUUGGGGAAAGGGACAGGACGGCAUCAGAAAUUGAUGACUCUCCCCUCCUUUUCUAUCCCUCCCACCUAUACACACAUUCCAUCCAAAUGAUGACUCACUUGGUCCAACCCUAAGAAGCAAAGUACUCAGAGGAAAGGAGGAGCCUUCAGAUUUAUUCCUGAAUCACUAAUGAUAUUGUCAGAGGCUCUGGGCAAGAUACUUGACUUUCUUGUAUCCUGGUUUCCUGUCUGUGAGAGUGACCCUGAUGCCAGGCUCCUGGCAGCCUGUGGGGUCUGUGAGAGAUGGUGUUAAAUGAGAGGCUCUCUUGGGUAACUCAGUUCCCACCCCCAAAGUUCAGUGUCUUCAUCUAUAGGGUUGGACUGGGUGUUCUCAGGUCCCUCCCAGCUCUGCCUCUCUCUAUUCUCCAAGCGGGGAACGGGGUAGGGGAAUUUUUGAACUAAACAGGGUGAUGGACAUGACUGUCUCUUCCAGAAAAGGCACAGAGGCUGUGUCAGCAGCGUCUGUGGGGUUUGCCUCAGUUCUCCUUCCAAACUUCUUUCUCCCAGGUGAUUCCUGAGGCCUCUCAAGAAUGCUCCCAACUGACCCGAAAUAUUCACAACUCAAAUCAUCAGGAAGGAUGACUUCAAUUCUGCCUGAAAUCGCCCCUGCAUGUGGUAGGAUGGAGCAAAGAAAUAAAAAUAAAUUACUGAAGGAAAUGAAUAGGAUUGUACUAUCUACAAAAGACGACUUGGAAAGCAGACAAGAAUGAGCAGGGUCUAUUUUAGUAUUGUCACGACUUUUCUGUAUAGUUGAAAUUUUCCCUAAUAAAAUGUUU